rnacentral:lncRNA from 1 species
AGCGGGGGAAGGGAGGCGGUCAAAGGCACGAGUGAGGAAGGUGGCAAGGACGAGGGCAAGGGCACUGAUCUGGUGGGCUGUUGUGAAGAGAGGGAGGAGGUGGUUGUGGUGGUGGGGCCCAUCGCCGACGGUGGAGAAGGGGAUCUGGCUCCUGUUUAGGCUCCCCAUAGGAGCAGGAGGGGGAGAGCAGGGACGGGGAAUAUCUUAGUGGGAGAUCGAUCUCGAGCAAUGAAAUCUAGAGAAAAUAGUGAUCCGAGAAUACAUUGAUCAGAUCACUUGGGAAGCCCAAAUAUUAGCAGCCUUGGGUUCGUCCCCGCCAGCUUAGCUCACACGAGUAUGGGCAACACAACAAGGGUCUAUCCCUAUGAGAAAUCAAAAAAAUAAAAAGAAAAAAAUACGGUUUUCACUGUGAUGAUUUGUUUAUUCUAUUGUAUAUAUUCUAUUUUUCUACUUUGUAAUUUCUGCAAUGGCUUCCAAUUUUCUGACCCAAAUCAGGACCCAAAUUUUUUGGAUUAGGACCGGAUUAUACAUGGACCCGAUCCGACCUAAAUGAUCCGUUGGAUUAGAAAUUUUAGCAAUUGACCCGAUCUAAUCCGAUCUUUUAUUAGAUUAGUUCUGGGUCCAAUAUUAGAAUCCGAACAAGAAACCGGGUUGGGUCGAGGUUACUCAUGAUCCGGUCCGACCCGACUCAUUUGCACCCCUACCAACAAUUGCAUGCUAAAGUAAUGUGACAGGUUGAGGUAAUAAUUGGACGGGCUCUGGGACUUCUGGUCAUCAGGUAACAUGCGAGAUUCCCACUUGAGCAUAGGCAUGACCUGGGAAAUCGAUGAAGCAAUCUUGGACGUGCUAAGAACAUUUGAUAGUGGUCUUGUGACAUCUUCAAGAGGUGCCUCGGACGUGGGCACACCGACCAAUAGAAGUUCACCGCGUAGCCCUUAUUAAAAACUGCCAUGACAAUAUUUAUAUUCUUCCUAACGGCGGACAAUUCCCUAUUGGCCCACAAUUGCGCCCAGUUAAGCUGACGUGUAUAAUGCAUGAAUGGUUACCGAGCGUUUAUUGUGCUGCCCAUCUUACUUGGUAACGAAUGUCGAUCUUUAUCUGUAUAAGCAGCACCUGAAGAAUUUCCAAGUAUGCUCUCUUGACGUUCUCCAUACUUACACUGCCACUUUCUCUCUUAACUCUCCGUUAUUUUUCUAAUAUUCUUAUCUAACUUAGGAAUCGGAAGGUUCUCCAUUGGACAAACUUCGGCAGGUGAACUUUUCUUCCUUAUUUUAGAUCCGACAACUUGUAUCAGAUCCUUCAUCUGAGCAUCGCCACACCACCGACCAUUCUUUAGCUCACCCUCUUCAACUCGAAGCAUGACCAGCAAGGAGCUCAGACUGAUCUUGCAAGUCCGACCUAAGUCUUCGCCAACCUCAUUAACACCAGUCUUAAAGCCCCUUGCGGUCGGGCUAAAUUCUG